UAUUCUGCUGAGAUAGCAGUCCUGGCAAAAUAUUCAAGAAUGUUUCUGCUCCAGGUUCUUAUUUUAGCUUUAUUUUGGCCUUAUGGGCAUGCACAGUUGCUUCUCCAACAAAUCCAGACAUCUGUUACCAAAGAACAAUAUAAAAUAGCACGUAUGGACUGUAAAAUUUCUGGCCUGAAAAACUUCAAGAGUGCUGUUAUACAUUGGUAUCGACAAAUAUCCGGUAGAGCUCCAGAACGGAUUCUGUUCAUCUCAGAAUCAGAACCCAGCAUUGAUCAGCCCUCUGAUAAGAACAAGUUUCACUGUGAAAAGGAUCCUGACAAGCAAAUCUCUACCCUAACUGCAAAUUAUGUGACCCAUAAUGACACAGCUACCUACUACUGUGCUGUCUGGGAUCACACAGCAUUAGCAAACAAUAGAGAGUUUGUACAAAUACUCAUUCUGAAAACAGCCACAGCCAUUUCGACACAAGGAAUCAGACAUAUCCUUCAACUUCUUUGUCAGCUUCAGGCAGAACUAGAUACGCAACCAACUGGACAUCAGCCACAACUUCAUAUAUUUGGUACUCAGAAUUAUAUUAGAAGAGAUACUUAUGUGCAAAAUUUGCAGAUAUAAAGGCAUGUGCUCAAUUAUGA